CCUACGGGAGGCUGCAGUGAGGAAUAUUGGUCAAUGGGCGCGAGCCUGAACCAGCCAAGUCGCGUGAGGGAAGACGGUCCUAUGGAUUGUAAACCUCUUUUGUCGGGGAGCAAAAGACGCCACGCGUGGCGUUUCGAGAGUACCUGAAGACAAAGCAUCGGCUAACUCCGUGCCAGCAGCCGCGGUACUACGGGGGAUGCGAGCGUUAUCCGGAUUUAUUGGGUUUAAAGGGUGCGAAGGCGGAAGAUCAAGUCAGCGGUAAAAUUUUGAGGCUCAACCUCUUAGAGCCGUUGAAACUGGUUAUCUUGAGUGAGCGAGAAGUAUGCGGAAUUCGUGGUGUAGCGGUGAAAUGCAUAGAUAUCACGCAGAACUCCGAUGGCGAAGGCAGCAUACCGGCGCUCAACGGACGCUCAUGCACGAAAGUGUGGGUAGCGAACAGGAUUAGAUACCCGAGUAGUC
rnacentral:rRNA from 1 species